rnacentral:rRNA from 1 species
AUUCCAGCUCCAAUAGCGUAUAUUAAAGUUGUUGCGGUUAAAAAGCUCGUAGUUGGAUUUCGGGUGGGUACCGCCGGUCUCCCUUCGGGUAUGUACUGGCGUGGCCCGCCUUGCUGUCGGGGACGGUCUCCUGGGCUUUAUUGUCCGGGAAUCGGAGUCGACGAUGUUACUUUGAGUAAAUUAGAGUGUUCAAAGCAAGCCUACGCUCUGAAUAUAAUAGCAUGGGAUAACACGACAGGACUCUGGCCUAUCGUGUUGGUCUGUAGGACCGGAGUAAUGAUUAAGAGGGACAGUCGGGGGCAUUCGUAUUCCAUUGUCAGAGGUGAAAUUCUUGGAUUUAUGGAAGACGAACAUCUGCGAAAGCAUUUGUCAAGGAUGUUUUCAUUA